rnacentral:rRNA from 1 species
UACGGGGGGAGCAAGCGUUGUUCGGAAUUACUGGGCGUAAAGGGCGCGUAGGCGGGAUGGCAAGUCGGUCGUGAAAUCCCUCGGCUCAACCGAGGAACGUCGAUCGAUACUGCUGUUCUUGAGGAUUGCAGAGGAGACUGGAAUUCCCGGUGUAGCGGUGAAAUGUGUAGAGAUCGGGAGGAACACCGGUGGCGAAGGCGGGUCUCUGGGCAAUUCCUGACGCUGAGGCGCGAAAGCGUGGGGAGCAAACGGG